CACGUAGGGUGCGAGCGUUGUCCGGAAUUAUUGGGCGUAAAGAGCUCGUAGGCGGUGUGUCGCGUCGGCCGUGAAAACCUGCAGCUUAACUGUGGGCUUGCGGUCGAUACGGGCAUCACUGGAGUUCGGCAGGGGAGACUGGAAUUCCUGGUGUAGCGGUGAAAUGCGCAGAUAUCAAGAGGAACACCGGUGGCGAAGGCGGGUCUCUGGGCCGAUACUGACGCUGAGGAGCGAAAGCGUGGGGAGCGAACAGG
rnacentral:rRNA from 1 species